GCAGUAUUCACAGUGGAGCUGUUAGCCAUUUUAUUGGCUCUCUGAUGGAUAUAAGAGGGAAGGUCAAGUAGAUGCAUCAUUUGCUCAGACUCAAUGGCAGCUCUAAUCAGCAUUUCAAAUGGCAAAUCUACCUGUAGGCCUGAUCUAAUUUAUGAGGUUCUUCAAAGUUGUUUAAAAUAGAACGAAUGCAAAUAACGGUGGGCUUUUUAUGGGUCCCAUCCCAUGCUGAAGUAGAAGGCAAUGAGGUUGUCAACAUGUUGGCAAAAAAGGCACUGAAACAGGAUAUACAGCUGGGUGUUCCAUUAAGUAAAUAUGAAGUUAAAACAAUAAUUAAAUCAGAAAUCAACAAGGUGUGCCAAGAACAAUGGGAUAGGGAAAAUAAGGGUCGGUUCCUGCUUAGAAUUCAGAGGCAGGUGGUAACAAGGAGACAGGGCUACUGGAACAGAAGAUGUGAGGUUAUCAUCACAAGACUACGCAUAGGGCACACGUCUUAACCACAGUAUGAACAUCAUAGGCAAACAUGAAACAGGGGUCUGCCCAAAAUGUAAUGGAAGAGAAACAGUGGAGCAUGUUUUACUACAAUGUGAAGCAUACAAUUUGGAGAGAAGGGAGCUGUUGAAAAAUGUUAAAGCUUUGGGUCAAACAAGCUUGACCUUAGAGGGUUUACUCUCCUUUUCCACACUGAGACCACCAGCAUGGAAACAUGUAAUGACAUACUUAAAAGCAACAGGUUUAUUUGACAGACCAUAAUUUAAUCUGUUGUUUUCUAUUCAUAUGAUUUUGUUUAUUUACUUUUGUUCUUUUGCAUAGUUUAUAACGCAUAACCUCCAUCGAAGCUCCAAACCAAACAGUAGGUGGCGGUAAUGCACCAUAUUGGUUUGCCAACCGCCAAAUAAACACGAAAGAAGAAGAAGAAGACUAGUGUGUGAUCUUGAUUGGCAGAAUGAACGAACAGUUCGUAACGUCCAGUGUCCGUACUGGUUAUAAUAGAUAUGUUGGUUUAGCCAGUGUGAACCAGUAAGCAUUACAGUCAUAACGUUAUAAACUAGACGGUCAAACCCAUAAAGUCCCCGCCGCAAGACGGCGGCAUUGUUGACGCAUGCCUUAGAAGCCGAAUGGGAUAUCUAAACAGUAUAUGCAUGCGGACUAUGGACCUAUAAAGAAAGGUGCAUACCCGUGGACCUAUUGCGGACCACCUGUUGUGUCCUUGCUGUAUCAGGUGCGAAGAACACUUCCGUAUACACGUACGACGUCACAGUGACGACAUCUCCAACUCCGCGUGUUGGUCCCGCCUACGCAAGAAAUCGCAGAGGACUCGCUAGACGACUCUUUAGCUCCAUCAAAAGAAGAAAAUAAUCAGAAGCUGUGAUGUUAGUUUCAUGACUCCUGUAUCAGCGUGGGUUCAUGGGAGUGUUUGUCUCCACAACUAUUGCGGGUGAAACUCCAUCUGAAGCGUCUCAGCAGCAAACGUGUUCACGGACGAGGUGAGACAUUUCUUUUGACAUGUCACGGGGAAGUACACAGAAGAUAUGCCCCUUCUGCAAGGGCAUUCUUCCAUGUGCCAAAAAAAUUUGCAGCCACUGCAAUAUGGUCCAGCCCAUCAAGCAACGCCUCCAAAAGGCUUUGAGUAGAUUUGAGGAAAAGCGGGAAAAGUGGGUGUCUUCCCGAAAAAAAAACCACAACCUUGCUCAAAUAAAGGAGGAAGCGGUCCUAAUGCUUGAGAAACUUCAAGCAGCUGGCUACAAACCCGUCCUCCUUCUGGGAACACCUUGCAAGAAGUCCCACACGGUACAAGUUUUCUUACCUCGCUGCACCUUGGCCCCUUACACGGAGGAGUCCCUUAAACAAAUGCGCUCUAUUCAUGAGUCUGUGUGUCAAGGCUGGACGCCUUAUACCACUGGGACUGAAGAGGUUUUUACUCUCAGUCUUACGCCCUGGAACCCCAGCCCUGUGGUCAUAGAGGAGCCAGAAGAGGACGGGGGAACCUCACAGAUGGAGAUGGACAUAGAAGAGGUUGAAGAGAGGGCCGUGCCGGUUGAGGAGGGGGCCGUAGAGGAGGGGGCUGUUGUGGAGGGGGCUCUGGAGGUGAAGGAGGAGGCCGGGCAGGUGGAGGAGGGGCUGUGCGGGUGGAGGAGGGGGCUGUGCAGGUGAAGGAGGAGGAGGCUGUGGAGGUGAAGGAGGAGGAGGCUGUGGAGGUGAAGGAGGAGGAGGAGGGCGGGCAGGUGGAGGAGGAGGAGGCUGUGGAGGUGAAGGAGGAGGCCGGGCAGGUGGAGGAGGAGGCCGGGCAGGUGAAGGAGGAGGCCGGGCAGGUGGAGGAGGUGGCUGUGGAGGUGAAGGAGGAGGCCUGGCGGGUGGAGGAGGCGGCGGCUGUGCGGGUGGAGGAGGAAGCCCACCCUGACAUGGAAGGACCAGCUGUCUCUACUGUGCAGAAGAAGAGGAAGAGGCAAGAGCUUCACAGCCAGAAGAAGGCACCCCUCAAGAGAACUUUACCCAAAAAUUGCUCCUACCAUAUUGGUCGUGAUGCUUACGAAAUAAGGGGCUACGGAAAGGAGAGAAUCAGAAAGGUUUGACAGACCCAGCAAAAACACAUGCGGGUUUAACUGUAGAAAAUACAAUCUUGCUGAUUGGCAAUGUAAAGCAUGCACAUUAAUUGCAUACUGACUAUCAAUCUCAUAGGCCACUGAAUUUAUUAUCUUACUACUGAAAUGAUGGCCCCUUUCCUUUAUAGGGCAAAACAGAGGUCCUGGUUGAGUGGCAGCCUUGCCCAGUUUGGUAUGUAUUUAAUUUGGUUUCUUUGGGUCUGUUUUUCAAACCACUUCAUUUCUUUUUCAGAGUAUUCUAUAUUAUACCAUUAUAUUGCGCCAUCUUGGAAUAUUCAAGUUCAAAACCACACACUAUUGUAACGUUUACCAGUAUUUCUUCAGCUAAAGAGACUUACCAACCAGAUUUCCAAGUGGAUUCAUCAUUCCCUUUCCUGUUGCAAUAGGAUCUUGAAUUAUUAGAACAUUAAUUAGAGGUUUGGUAUUGCUCUAGAACAGAAAUGUGAAAAGAUUGGGCUUCAGUUGUGAUUGCCUACCUCAUAGAUGUUAAUCAAUAUAAUGUAGGGAUAUAUGGUAUUUUUAAUAAGUGAAGUUGCACCAAUAAUCACAAAACUGUUCAAUGUUUUUUUCUACUCUUUUCAGUGGGAAGGAGUUGGCCAAGGCCUGGCAGUCAAAAUAAAAUUCAAAUUAAAAUAUUCCUUUGAGUUUGGUCUUUUGACUGUCUUUUCAGUCCAACCCGGUAUCACGUGAUAUCGUGCUCACGAACGUUGUCUUAAUGCCUUCUUUAAGCAAAUGAGGGGAAAAUCCAACCUUUUAGGCCACCAAUUUUCUGUGUGAAUGAAUAAUGUAUCGUUAUUCGUUAAUAAACAAAUGUUCUUCAUUCAAAUACAGGGUGCAUAAGUAAAGGAACCCCUAUGUUAAAUUCUCAUAGAGGCAGGCAGAUUUUUAUUUUUAAAGGCCAGUUAUUUCAUGGAUCCCAGGAACAAUUCAUCCUGAUAAAGUCACAAAGGCCUUUGGAAUUAAAAUAGCCCCACAUCAUCACAUACCAUUUUCCAUACCUUGAUAUUGGCCUGGUUAUUUUCAGUUAGCCUAGUAGCUGCUAGUUAGCCUAAUGAUUUCUCAAUGCAAAUCAAACCAUCUAUUAUGCUAAAUGAAAAAAAUGCAUGCUAAUCUCUAGGUAUGGUGAAGGGUAUGUGAUGAUGUGGGGCUAUUUUAAUUUAAUUUUAAUUUAAUCAAUUAAAAAGAGAAAGAUGCGGAAACGUUCUUGUACAGGACCAGCUCUUCACUCUCGCAAGGAUCCUGGAGGGGGCCUGGGAGUAUGCCCAUCCGGUCUACAUGAAUUUGUGGAUCUGGAGAAGGCGUAUGACUGGGUCCUCCGGGAGAAACUGUGGGAGGUGCUGCGGGAGUAUGGGGUAAGGGGGUCUCUCCUCAGGGCCAUCCAAUCUCUGUACUCCCAAAGCGAGAGCUGUGUUCGCGUCCUCGGCAGCCAGUCAGUUUCGUUCUCAGUGGGUGCUGGUCUCCGCCAGGGCUGCGCCUUGUCCCCAAUCCUGUUUGUGAUAUACAUGGACAGGAUAUCGAGGCGUAAUCGUGGUGGGGAGGGGUUGCAAUUCGGUGGCCUGAGGAUCUCGUCACUGCUUUUUGCAGAUGAUGUGGUCCUCAUUGGAUCAUCGGCCUGUGACCUUAAGCACUCACUAGAUAGGCUGGCGGCCGAGUGUGUAGCGGCUGGGAUGAGGAUCAGCACUGCUAAAUCUGAGGCCAUGACUCUUAGCCGGAAACCGGUGGAUUGCUUACUCCGGGUAGGAAAUUUGUACUUAGCCCAAAUGAAGGAGUUCAAGUACCUCUGGGUCUUGUUCGCGAGUGAGGGUACGAUCGAGCAUGAGAUUGGCCGGAGAAUCGGAGCAGCGGGGGCGGUAUUGCGUUUGCUAUACCGCACCGUUGUUACGAAAAGAGAUCUGGGCCGCAAGGCAAAGCUCUCGAUCUACCGGUCGAUCUUCGUUCCUAUCCUAACCUAUGGUCAUGAGGGUUGGGUGAUGACCGAAAGGACGAGAUCGCGGGUACAAGCGGCCGAGAUGAGUUUUCUCAGAAGGGUGGCUGGCGUCUCCCUUAGGGAUAGGGUGAGAAGCUCAGCCAUCCGUGAGGAACUCGGAUUAGAGCCGCUGCUCCUUUACUUAGAAAGGAGUCAGCUGAGGUGGUUCGGGCAUCUGGUAAGGAUGCCCACUGGGGGCCUCCCUUGGGAGGUGUUUCAGGCACGUCCAGUGGGGAGGAGACCUCGGGGAAAACCCAGGACUAGGUGGAGAGAUUAUAUCUCAACAAUGGCCUGGGAACGCCUCGGGAUCCCCCCGUCAGAGCUGGUCAAUGUGGCCCGGGAAAGGGAAGUCUGGGGCCCCCUGCUUGAGCUGCUCCCCCCGCGACCCGACCCUGGAUAAGCGGACGAAGAUGAGAUGAGAAGAUGCGGAAAUUGGUUUUGCAGAUAUCAGCAGUUUGAGAACAAAAAGGUAUUUUUAACAUACAGGCUGUUAACCCUAUUCUAGUAAUCCCCCCCAAAUGCAAUUAUAAACACUUAUAAUGCAUAAAAGGGGAUCUUUAAGGCAAGCAACUUUGGUUUUUAUGAGUAGCGUUAACGUAGCUUACUAUAAAUAAUGAAACUGAGCUUCGCAUGAUGUUGCUUUAUUGCUGGAGAACUAAACAGCGUCGCGCCCCGGACGUCACUUCCAGUUCGCGUUUAUACUACCGUAAUGACGUAAACAGUAUGUUGAAGCUUAUAGUGAACAUUAACAUUGAUUCAGACUACUGGCGUGAUCUGAUUGAACUUGUUGAACUUGUCUGUUACUUAUACUUCUGGUUACUUUGAAUAUUCAUUAACUAACCAUCCACUUGGUCUGUAAACAACAUUAAAC
ensembl:lncRNA